GGAUGUUGGCUCAGAAGCAGCCAUUCAUUCAAAGAGUGCGUAACAGCUCACUAGUCGAGAGGUCCUGCGCCGAAAAUGUCCGGGGCUGAAACACAACACCGAAGCUGUGGAAUGUAGUAAUACAUUGGUAGAGGAGCAUUCUUAAUACCGACGAAGCUGUACCGGAAGGAGCAGUGGAGGGAUAAGAAGAGAGAAUGCCGGAAUGAGUAGCGAGAGGAAGGUGAGAAUCCUUCCGGCCGAAUAUCUAAGGUUUCCAGAGUAAAGCUGAUCUGCUCUGGGUAAGUCGGGGCCUAAGGCGAGGUCGAAAGACGUAGUCGAUGGAUAACAGGUUUAGAUUCCUGUACUGCGUAUCAUCAGAAAUGUGGGGACGCAUGUGGAAAGCACGAGCCGGGAAUGGAAAGACCGGUACAAGCGAGGGAGGUGUACGGCUGGCAAAUCCGCCGUAUAAGCCAAAAGCGUGAAGUGGAGCGAAAUAAAAGUAGCGAAGCGUGUGAGCCAUGUGCCGAGAAAAGCCGCUAUUGUGUGAUAUGUACCCGUACCGCAAACCGACACAGGUAGAUGAGGAGAGAAUCCUAAGGCCGACGGAAGAAGUAUUGUUAAGGAAUUCGGCAAAAUGUCCCCGUAACUUCGGGAGAAGGGGAGCCCACGAGAGUGGGCCGCAGAGAAUAGGCUCAAGCAACUGUUUAGCAAAAACACAGGUCUAUGCGAAACCGAAAGGUGAUGUAUAUGGGCUGACGCCUGCCCGGUGCUGGAAGGUUAAGAGGAGAGGUUAGAGCAAUCGAAGCUUUGAAUUUAAGCCCCAGUAAACGGCGGCCGUAACUAUAACGGUCCUAAGGUAGCGAAAUUCCUUGUCGGGUAAGUUCCGACCCGCACGAAAGGCGUAAUGAUUUGAGCACUGUCUCGACAAUACAUCCGGUGAAAUUGAAGUACCAGUGAAGAUGCUGGUUACCCGCGCCAGGACGGAAAGACCCCAUGGAGCUUUACUCCAGUUUGGUACUGGGAUUCGGUACUGCAUGUACAGGAUAGGUGGGAGACUAAGAAACUUGAACGCCAGUUUGAGUGGAGUCGCUGUUGGGAUACCACCCUUGCAGUAUUGGGUUUCUAACCUGUCACCGUGAUCCGGUGAAGGGACAAUGCCAGGCGGGGAGUUUGACUGGGGCGGUCGCCUCCGAAAGGGUAUCGGAGGCGCUCAAAGGUUCCCUCAGAAUGGUCGGAAACCAUUUUAAGAGUGCAAAGGCAGAAGGGAGCUUGACUGCGACACCGACGGGUGGAGCAGGUAGGAAACUAGGACUUAGUGAUCCGGUGGCAUAAAGUGGGAUUGCCAUCGCUCAACGGAUAAAAGCUACCCUGGGGAUAACAGGCUUAUCACUCCCAAGAGUUCACAUCGACGGAGUGGUUUGGCACCUCGAUGUCGGCUCAUCGCAUCCUGGGGCUGUAGCAGGUCCCAAGGGUUGGGCUGUUCGCCCAUUAAAGCGGUACGCGAGCUGGGUUCAGAACGUCGUGAGACAGUUCGGUCCCUAUCCGGCGCGGGCGGAGGAUAUUUGAGAGGAGCUGUCCUUAGUACGAGAGGACCGGGAUGGACGAACCACUGGUGUAUCUGCUGUCGACCAACGGCAUGGCAGAGUAGCCAAGUUCGGAAGGGAUAAACGCUGAAGGCAUCUAAGCGUGAAGCCCCCCUCAAGAUGAGAUAUCCCUCCUUCGGGAGUAAGACCCCUUGAAGACUACAAGGUAGAUAGGGCAGAGAUGGAAGCAUGGCAACAUGUGUAGUUGACUGUCACUAAUAGGUCGAGGGCUUGACCAA
rnacentral:ncRNA from 1 species